GUUUUCUUCACAAGCUAUUAAUGUCGCUGUAGCUUCAAAAGCCGGGUGACCUUUAAAUGCCGAGCCUCCUGCUCCCGCCCAGGGCUCGGAAACGGCUUAAUGGAUACUCAGCCCCAACGGUCACAGCUGCUCGGACGACAACAAAGCCUGCCUCAUUCCCAGAGCCCCCAGAACUGCAGGGCAGCUACACCUGUGCCCAUUCUCUAACCCUGGCGCAGCAACCAGAGCAAGAGGCCAGAUUCAACACAGCAUCCGUCAGGCUGGAGAGCCACUCUGUUCCCUGGCACAGACCACAGAACGGACAGAGAAGGAGCACACGGCAAAGAUCGCCAGACUGGGGGCAGCACUGAAUCCCAGGGCACAAACUAACCCUAAGGGAGCUGAGGAGGGCCGGAGAGGGGUCUUCCAGUUAUGAAAUAGUGUUCAAGUCCAGGGAGCAAGAUGUGGAAACUGAAGCUCAGAGUGGCUAACUGACUCACAUAGGCUCACAUAGCAACGGAAUCAGAAUCUGAAUCAACAGUCGGACACCGAAGUAAAUGUUUUGCUGUCUCCAGCCUGCUACAUAAACU
rnacentral:lncRNA from 1 species